GCAGUAGGGAAUCUUCCACAAUGGACGCAAGUCUGAUGGAGCAACGCCGCGUGAGUGAAGAAGGUUUUCGGAUCGUAAAGCUCUGUUGUUGGUGAAGAAGGAUAGAGGCAGUAACUGGUCUUUAUUUGACGGUAAUCAACCAGAAAGUCACGGCUAACUACGUGCCAGCAGCCGCGGUAAUACGUAGGUGGCAAGCGUUGUCCGGAUUUAUUGGGCGUAAAGCGAGCGCAGGCGGAAUGAUAAGUCUGAUGUGAAAGCCCACGGCUCAACCGUGGAACUGCAUCGGAAACUGUCAUUCUUGAGUGCAGAAGAGGAGAGUGGAAUUCCAUGUGUAGCGGUGGAAUGCGUAGAUAUAUGGAAGAACACCAGUGGCGAAGGCGGCUCUCUGGUCUGCAACUGACGCUGAGGCUCGAAAGCAUGGGUAGCGAACAGGAUUAGAUACCCUGGUAGUCCAUGCCGUAAACGAUGAGCGCUAGGUGUUGGGGACUUUCCGGUCCUCAGUGCCGCAGCAAACGCAUAAGCGCUCCGCCUGG
rnacentral:rRNA from 1 species